rnacentral:rRNA from 1 species
UACGGAGGGGGCUAGCGUUGUUCGGAAUUACUGGGCGUAAAGCGCACGUAGGCGGCUUUGUAAGUUAGAGGUGAAAGCCCGGGGCUCAACUCCGGAAUUGCCUUUAAGACUGCAUCGCUAGAACUGUGGAGAGGUAAGUGGAAUUCCGAGUGUAGAGGUGAAAUUCGUAGAUAUUCGGAAGAACACCAGUGGCGAAGGCGGCUCACUGGACCGGUAUUGACGCUGAGGUGCGAAAGCGUGGGGAGCAAACAGG